AUGUCCUCGAGACGCCAGGCAGUUGAGCGUGAUGGGGUCGAAGCUGGGCCCGUGGUGUUGUCCAGGCGGGCAUCCGCCGUCCUGGCGGAUAUCUUCCUCCGCCUUCCCACCCCAGAGGACCUCAUCCGCGCCUCCGCCGCCUGCGUCUCCUUCCGCCGCCUCGUCGCCGACCGCUCCUUCCUCCGGCGCUUCCGCAAGCUUCACCCUCCGCCCCUCCUCGGCUUCCUCGACUACAGCGGCUUCCACCCCGCCGAGCCGCCUCAUCCCUCCGCACCGGCGGCCAGCGCCGUCGCCGCCGACUUCGACUUCCUCCCCGGGUCUUCCUUGGACUGGACGGUGCGGGAAGUCCGCGACGGCCGCGUCCUCCUCGACAGACCCGGCCGUUUCGAGCCCCUCUUCAAGGAGACGGUGGUGUGCGACCCCUUGCACCGGCAGUACCUCCUGCUUCCCCCGAUCCCCGCUGACUCCCACGCCACACUGACCACCGAGGAGUGGACAAUGCUGUGUCGGCACCAGAAUCACGAGAAGCUGACCCUGGAGGCGUGGAAGGACAUACUAGUCAAGAACUGA
rnacentral:rRNA from 1 species